rnacentral:piRNA from 1 species
GACAGGGAGCUGCCUGGGCCAGGUGGCA